ACCACCUCUUCCCAUCCCGAACAGAGAAGUUAAACCCGCCCGCGCCGAUGGUACUGCCCCACCAGGUGGGAGAGUAGGUCGCUGCCGCUU
rnacentral:rRNA from 1 species